ACUGGAGUUUGAUCUGGCUCAGAUUGAACGCUGGCGGAAUGCUUUACACAUGCAAGUCGAACGGUAGAGGGGGCAACCCCUCGAGAGUGGCGAACGGGUGAGUAAUAUAUCGGAACGUGCCCAGUCGUGGGGGAUAACGUAGCGAAAGUUACGCUAAUACCGCAUACGAUCUAAGGAUGAAAGCGGGGAUCGCAAGACCUCGCGCGAUUGGAGCGGCCGAUAUCAGAUUAGGUAGUUGGUGGGGUAAAGGCUCACCAAGCCAACGAUCUGUAGCUGGUCUGAGAGGACGACCAGCCACACUGGAACUGAGACACGGUCCAGACUCCUACGGGAGCAGCAGUGGGGAAUAUUGGGGCAAUGGACGCAAGUCUGACCCAGCCCAUGCCCGCGUGCAGGAUGAA
rnacentral:rRNA from 1 species